CGCCUCUUGCAUAGCUAAGUAUAAGAGGUCCCGCCUGCCCUGUGACUAUAUGUUUAACGGCCGCGGUAUUUUGACCGUGCGAAGGUAGCGCAAUCACUUGUCUUUUAAAUGAAGACCUGUAUGAAUGGCACGACGAGGGCUUAACUGUCUCCUUCCCUUGGUCAAUGAAAUUGAUCUACCCGUGCAGAAGCGGGUAUAAAUACAUAAGACGAGAAGACCCUAUGGAGCUUUUAGACGUAUAGGAAGCCUGCGUUAAAUACCCCAAAUAUGGGAACAAACCAAGUAUGGAUCUACCUAAAUGUCUUUGGUUGGGGCGACCACGGGGAAAUAAAUAACCCCCACGGGGAGUGGGACAAAAGUCUCAUACCUAAGAACGACAGUUCUAAGAAUCAGAAUGUCUGACCUUAAGAUCCGGCAAUGCCGAUCAACGAACCAAGUUACCCUAGGGAUAACAGCGCAAUCCCCUUUUAGAGUCCUUAUCAACAAGGGGGUUUACGACCUCGAUGUUGGAUCAGGACAUCCUAAUGGUGCAG
rnacentral:rRNA from 1 species